rnacentral:tRNA from 1 species
UGCGGGAUAGAGCAGAGGUCAGCUCGCCAUCCUCAUAAGGUGGAGGUCGUCGGUUCGAAUCCGGCUCCCGCAA